AGCCCCGGAGCCCCUUAGGGCUCGUCUAAAACUUACAUUACGUGGGCUACCUCAGGGCU
rnacentral:tRNA from 1 species